rnacentral:rRNA from 1 species
UACGUAGGUGGCAAGCGUUAUCCGGAAUUACUGGGCGUAAAGCGCACGCAGGCGGUCUUGUAAGUUUGACGUGAAAGCUCCCGGCUUAACUGGGAGAGGUCGUUGAAGACUGCAAGACUUGAGGAAAUGAGAGGGGUGUAGAAUUCCCGGUGUAGUGGUGGAAUGCGUAGAUAUCGGGGGGAAUACCAGUGGCGAAAGCGGCACCCUAGCAUUUUUCUGACGCUCAUGUGCGAAAGCGUGGGGAGCGAACGGGAUUCAGAUACCCAG